GAUGAACGCUGGCGGCGUGCCUAAUACAUGCAAGUCGAGCGCACAGACGAGGAGCUUGCUCCUCUGACGUUAGCGGCGGACGGGUGAGUAACACGUGGAUACCCUACCUAUAAGACUGGGAUAACUUCGGGAAACCGGAGCUAAUACCGGAUAAUAUAUUGAACCGCAUGGUUCAAUAUUGAAAGACGGUUUUGCUGUCACUUAUAGAUGUAUCCGCGCCGCAUUAGCUACUUGGUAAGGUAACGGCUGACCAAGGCAACCAUGCGUAGCCGACCUGAGAGGGUGAUCGGCCACACUGGAACUGAGACACGGUCCAGACUCCUCCGGAAGGCAGCAGUAGGGAAUCUUCCGCAAUGGGCGAAAGCUUGCCGGAGCAACGCCGCGUGAGUGAUGAAGGUCUUCGGAUCGUAAAACUCUGUUAUUAGGGAAGAACAAAUGUGUAAGUAACUAUGCACGUCUUGACGGUACCUAACCAGAAAGCCACGGCUAACUACGUG
rnacentral:rRNA from 1 species